UUAGACCGCCUAUUUAAGUUAGGCGGUCUCUGCAUCUAAUACCUUAGACCACAUAUUUAAGAUAGGCGGUCUCUUAAUCAUUUUCUCUUUUAAUCUCCUUUAUGGCUUUUGGACUUUACCCCAACCGUUCUUUGUUCUCCCUCCUCAUUUUAUAACCCUAGCUUGCUUUCAGCCUCCUUCCUUCCAAUCCAUCCCCUGACUUUCUCUCUCUAUUUUGAGGCAAGUCAUGCAACCACCUCUAACCUUUGCACUUCUAUUGCUCUCAUUCACACUCCUUCACCCAUACUUUCUCCUUCUCGAUCUCAGCCCCGCCAACAUAACUCCGCCCUAUACAUCCCUCAUCAUCGCUUGUCGCGCAGCGGUAGCGUCUGCAACCAACUCGUCACCUUUUCUUUCUGGGAAGCGGCGGUAGCGAUAGCUCCAAACACUCGGUUCUCUCUUUAGGUUCAAAGCUUAUAAUCAAAUGGAUCAUCAGUUCAUAUUCGAAGCUAAAGAAGAUCUACACGAAUGAGUUGUUGAAGUUCGGUUUGAAGAAGCAUUUUAUAGGAUUAAUGAUUUUUUUAUCUAUGCAAUUCUAGAUUUUGUAUAAUUUUGUAUUCUAUAGUCUAUACCAUGUAUAAAUAUACAAAAUGUAAAAAAAUCAAUUAGUUAUUUUAAUGAAAUGUAAUUUUAAUUUACGAUUUAAAAA